CGGCGUGCCUAAUACAUGCAAGUCGAACGCAUUUGUGGUUGAAAUGAUAUGAAGAACUUGUUCAGAUUUGAUUUUCAACAUUGCAAUGAGUGGCGAACGGGUGAGUAACACGUGGGAAACCUACCUCUUAGCAGGGGAUAACAUUUGGAAACAAAUGCUAAUACCGUAUAAUAAUUAAAACCGCAUAGUUUUAGUUUAAAAGAUGGUCUUGCUAUCACUAAGAGAUGGUCCCGCGGUGUAUUAGUUAGUUGGUGAGGUAAUGGCUCACCAAGACAAUGAUACAUAGCCGAGUUGAGAGACUGACCGGCCACAAUGGGACUGAGACACGGCCCAUACUCCUACGGGAGGCAGCAGUAGGGAAUCUUCCACAAUGGACGAAAGUCUGAUGGAGCAACGCCGCGUGUGUGAUGAAGGGUUUCGGCUCGUAAAACACUGUUGUAAGAGAAGAAUGACAUUGAGAGUAACUGUUCAAUGUGUGACGGUAUCUUACCAGAAAGGAACGGCUAAAUACGUG
rnacentral:rRNA from 1 species